rnacentral:rRNA from 1 species
UAAAGUUGUUGCAGUUAAAAAGCUCGUAGUUGAAUUUUAGGCCUGACCGGACGGUCCGUCUCUGGCGAGUACUGUUCUGCUGUCGGGUCUAUCCUUCUGGUGAGCCGGUAUGCCCUUAUUGGGUGUGUCGGGGAACCAGGACCAUUACCUUGAAAAAAUUAGAGUGUUUAAAGCGGGCUUUUGCUUGAAUAGAUUAGCAUGGAAUAAUAGAANAGGACGUUGGUUCUAUUUUGUUGGUCUAGGACCACCGUAAUGAUUAAUAGGG